rnacentral:rRNA from 1 species
GACGAACGCUGGCGGCGUGCUUAACACAUGCAAGUCGAACGGAAAGGCCCUGCUUUUGUGGGGUGCUCGAGUGGCGAACGGGUGAGUAACACGUGAGUAACCUGCCCUUGACUUUGGGAUAACUUCAGGAAACUGGGGCUAAUACCGGAUAGGAGCUCCUGCUGCAUGGUGGGGGUUGGAAUGUUUCGGGGGUUGGGGAUGGACUCGCGGGUUAUCAGCUUGUUGGUGGGGUAGUGGCUUACCAAGGCUUUGACGGGUAGCCGGCCUGAGAGGGUGACCGGCCAAAUGGGGACUGAGAGACGGACCAGACUACAACGGGAGGAAGCAGGGGGGAAUAGUGCACAAUGGGCGGAAGCAUGAUGCAGAAACGCCGCGUGCGGGAUGACGGCCUUCGGGUUGUAAACCGAUUUCGCCUGUGACGAAGCGUGAGUGACGGUAAUGGGUAAAGAAGCACCGGCUAACUACGUG